ACCACUAAAAUAAAAAUGUAACAGUGAGCAUUCAUUGAAUUUCAGCAGGUUACUUACUGAUUUGAAGAGUGAAAAAAGAAAAGGAAAAAACCUGCACGCCAGACAGUCUUUUAAUGAAAUCUUGACUGCUUCCUCUGGAGGCUUUGUGCUCACCACAUUUUCCUUUUGUUUGAUCUGUAAAAUUCUCAGUCUCAGAAAUAUGGAUAACAGUUUGGAGAAAGGCAGUAGACGGGGGAUUGCUUUAUGAAGUUUCCAAUGAUGCAGACGUGAAGCUGAUUAUUAGAAGAAAUGUACAGAGUUUCAGGAAUAUGGAGAAUGGCUUGCAGAAAGGCAGUAGACGAGGAAUUGCUUUAUGAAGUUCCAAUGGUGCAGACAUAGUUGAUUAUUAGCAGAAGUGUAAAUUUUAUGCGCCAAACAAACAACCCUUUUUUUUCCCUAGAAGCAAAUUAUGGAGAUGCUGUGCUACCAGAGUCAAUUAUGCAACAAGCAGGGGUAAGUACAGUGCUCAAGGAUCUUGAGCAUGGCACAAAUUUACCUAGCUUCCUUUUGCAACUAUAUAGCAGAUAUUAUACCUAACUUUAUGCUAUCUUGUACACGCAAAAACAUACUAGGUAAUCCUUCAGUGCAAAACUAUAGGAUCACGGUAUUUGGUA